rnacentral:rRNA from 1 species
UUAGUCUUUUAAUAGGAGGCUGGAAUGAAAGGUUUAACGAAAAAUUAGCUGUCUCAAUUAUAAAUUUGAAUUUAACUUUUAAGUUAAAAGGCUUAAAUUUUUUUGUAGGACGAGAAGACCCUAUAGAGCUUUACAUUUAAUAUUUUGUUAUAUUGAUUUAGAUUAAUAUUUUUAAUUAACUUUAAAAAAUGUUUUGUUGGGGUGACAAGAAAUAUAUAUUUAACUUUUAUUAUUAUAUUUUCAUUAAUUUAUGAUUAUUGGAUCCAAAAUUUUUGAUCAUUAGAAUAAGUUACCUUAGGGAU